AUCCAACUGAUGAGUUCCAAAUAGGACUAAAUGCACAUCCUGGAU
rfam:Schistosoma haematobium scaffold946_13, whole genome shotgun sequence.